CUGACGUAUAACACAUUGACGUUUGCUCGUCAUUUUCAUUCCUCAUUGGCAUCUUCGCGUGUAAAGACAGGUCUGGAAGCUUUUGCCAGCCACUAAUUAAUAUCACACAGACCAUUAUAAGAGGAAAUUCAGCUAAAAUUCUUCGACAGCCUUUGGCACUCUUUCGACCGCAUCACGACAAAGAUGGCUCAGCCCCUAAAGGAGCAAUUUGUUGCUCUUGUUGCAUGCAUCCUGCUGACACUACCAGGUGGCGACAUGUCAUCAACGAUGCAUAUGAUGCCAUCAGAGUCUGCAAGUGACAUGACAUCAAU